rnacentral:rRNA from 1 species
GACGAACGCUGGCGGCGUGCUUAACACAUGCAAGUCGAACGGAAAGGCCCUGCUUUUGUGGGGUGCUCGAGUGGCGAACGGGUGGGUAACACGUGAGUAACCUGCCCUUGACUUUGGGAUAACUUCAGGAAACUGGGGCUAAUACCGGAUAGGAGCUCCUGCUGCAUGGUGGGGGUUGGAAAGUUUCGGCGGUUGGGGAUGGACUCGCGGCUUAUCAGCUUGUUGGUGGGGUAGUGGCUUACCAAGGCUUUGACGGGUAGCCGGCCUGAGAGGGUGACCGGCCACAUUGGGACUGAGAUACGGCCCAGACUCCUACGGGAGGCAGCAGUGGGGAAUAUUGCACAAUGGGCGGAAGCCUGAUGCAGCAACGCCGCGUGCGGGAUGACGGCCUUCGGGUUGUAACCCGCUUUCGCCUGUGACGAAGCGUGAGUGACGGUAAUGGGUAAAGAAGCACCGGCUAACUACGUG